AUGCCGAGCAGCAGGCCGAGCGUGCCGCGUAUUUACGCGCCCGGCGCGCGGCACUCCGCCUCGCCCACCCGGAGCAGCUUGGCCGCCACUACAGCCCAGAGACUUUCGCCAUGCCGGCUGCGCUCAACAUUGGUCGAAUGGAGCACGUCUGCGGCUUUUGCGGCGCUCUGCGCUGGGCGAAGGAAGCGCCCGGCUCCUGUUGUAGCAAGGGCAAGGUCGCGCCGCCCUUCCACCCGUCGCCUCCGCCCGAACUCGCCGAGCUUUUCACCGCCAACUCGCCGCUGCACCACAAGUUCAUGACGAACAUCCGACGCUAUAUCUGCGCGUUCCAGCUCGCCAGCAUGGGCUGCAAGAAGGUGCGUCAGCCGGGAUGGAAUCCCAACUUCACCAUCCAGGGCAACGUCUGCCACUUCAUCGGCAGCCUCCUCCCGGCUGACGGCGCACAGGCAAAAUUUAUGCAAAUUUAUUUCCUGGACGACCAGCUGGCGGCGCGGACCGGCCUUUUUGAAGGCCUGAAUGAGGACGUCUUGCGACUGCUGGAACAGGUGCUGCAACGCUGCAACGUCUACAUCCAGUCGCUGCUGCCCGCCAAGCAGAUGCUAGACGCCCUGCCCGACCAGCGCCGUCGUGAUGACUGAGCAGCGCCGUCCGCUGUCGGAGCAUGAGCGCCGUUUCAACCUGCCCGCCUGCAGGGAGGUGGCGGUGCUCAUGCCCAAUGAGCCAGUCGGCCGUCGCGACAUCAUCCUGCAGCACCGUGACGGAGCGGUGCGGCGGAUCGACGAGUUCCACCGCUCAUACAAUCCGCUGCACCAUGUGCUGCUGCACCCGCUCGGCACAGACGGCUGGUCGCUGGCGAUGAAACAAGAGCUGGCCGUCACUGCCCGUCAAUACUACGCGUUUCACCUGCGCUACAGACCCGGCCACUUUAACAUCCUGCCACGCGGCCGUCGGCUGUUCCAGCAGCUGCUGGUGGACGCGGAGGUGAAGGUGGAAGCCGACCGCCUAAACUACAUCCGCAUUCCGCACCCACCAGGACGGUCUCAACGGCUUCCGCGCGGAGUCCAUCCGUGGCAUCCGGGACGCCCUGGAGGCGGGCGAGCAGGCCGGCAGAGCCGUGGGCCGGGUCGUGCUGCCAGCCAGUUUCACUGGAGGGCCACGCUACAUGAUGGCCAGACUCCAAGACUGCCUCACCUAUGUGCGUGAGUUCGGCGGUGCCGACUUCUUUGUCACGGUGACCUGUGACCCGCACUGGCCAGAAAUUGUCAACACCAUCCAACAGCAGUUCCCCGGUGACCAGGCCAGCGAUCACCCGGACAUCAUGUCGCAGGUGUUUCACCUGAAGAUGCGAGGCCUGCUGCACCUGCUGCGCGGCGGCGUCCUCGGCCAUCAUGCACACCAUCGAGUGGCAGAAACGAGGCCUGCCACACGCCCACAUCGUCGUCUGGAUGGUGCCGGACGACAAGCCGCGUCCCGACCAAAUCGACGACUGUGUGGUGGCGGAGCUGCCGGACCCUGCCGAGGAUCCUGAGCUCCACGACUUGGUCAGGUCCAAAAUGGUGCACGGCCCGUGCGGCGGCCUCAACCCGAGGUCGGCGUGCAUGUCCGACGGCGCCUGCACCAAAAAGUUCCCUCGGAACUUCCAGCGGGAGACGGUGGUGCCGGAGCGCGGCGGCGGCUACCCGCUGUACCGCCGCCGCGCCCCGGAGGACGGCGGUUUCACGACCGAGCCGCGCGGCCGUCCUGCCGACCGAGACCGCCCGCGGCUGGACAUCCGCUGGGUUGCCCCGUACAGUGGAUCUUAUUAGGAUCUCCAGACGUAACUAUGUAGAUGGCGUUGAGCCUUAGUCGAGUCCAUGUCAAAUUCAAGGAGAGGUCACUACCGAGCUGGGCCCGAUGGGGAGGUGGGCGGGGAGGGGGGGGGGGUGGCGAGGUCACGGUGCGGGUGACCUGUCAAACAGCCCCGGCGCGGUGCGGCACUGCCGUAGGCAAAUGGCGCACUCCAGUGUUGUUCCAUAUCGCGGUGGUGGGCCGGGCGGCCGGUUAGCUUGGCAGCUUGGAAGGAAAGGAGAAUGAGGCAUGGUUUUGCUGUGGCCGGUUCACCUACUGUUACUUAUGAUGCACCCAGAGUAAUGCAAAUGUGGCGUUGAUAAUGCAGCUGGCAAUGGAAUGCUAGCGAAUGCUCCGAGCGCCUAGCUAUAAGGAUUAAGAUUAUUUAUGUCUCCUGAAAUUUUCAUUGAAUAUAAUUCAAGCACUAGA
rnacentral:misc_RNA from 1 species